UUGGCAUCUCGGCGGUUCUCAUACCCAAGAUCUCCGAGUCGCUGUGAUGGAGGCUUGAGCUGGUAGUGCACUUGUUGCUGUGGCUGUGUCAUGUGGCUUACAACGAUCCUGCCCGUCUAGCUAUACCCAGUUUCAGAAACAUAUACCAUAUUUCCAUCCCACUUUAAACCCUCGUCCCCUCUGGAAGAGUAACGUUCAAUACGUGUUUUGAAAGAUGUGUGAAAAGGUUUGGAGAACGAGGUGUUGAACGCCGCUCGUGGAGUAAUGUCAGCUCUCAUGCACACUCGGGAAAAAGGCUAAUGUUUUGAUCUCAGUGCAAGGGAUGCUGCAUCGCCCCGCCUCGAAGGAUUCUCGGCAGGCUGCAGGCGAAAUUUCACCCUCGGCAUCAGCUGAUUACUUACCUCCUUCGGCAUCCAGAUCACGUCUUCAUGAUUGCAUGUCGUCUGCAACAUCCGCUACGUUAAAGAAUUGC